UGAAUGAAAGAGCUAGUGUUUUGGCAGAUAAGCUGAGUCAAGCAUCAAGAAAUCAACUUGUUUUGGUGCCACAUAAUGUUGGUUAUCAUUGGAUUCUCACUGUCAUUGAUCCAUAUAAGGAGACAGUUUAUUUGUUGGAUUCGCUUAGUCAUCGCAUUCGUGACGAGGAUUGGAAAUACGUAGUAGAUAUGAGCAUAAGAUUGUUUAAUUCAAACAAGGCAAAAAAAGGGAAAAAACAUGUUACAUGGGAAGUAGUAAAGGUAUGCAUGUCUACUUAUGAUUAAAUUACAAACAAUUAAACAUGUAUAUUAGACAUUUACAAUUUGUUUUUAACAUAGGGCCCUCGCCAACCAGAUGC